rnacentral:lncRNA from 10 species
UAACCAGCUGCAGUACUUUUUGUGUGGUGUGGAAGUGUUUGUUUUUUGCAAUAGAUUUUUGUUGCAGUUUAGGUUUGUAUUUUCUUUGUUUUGUAGUGCUUAUUAUGAAGGUUCGUAGGUUUAUGUCUGUAGGCCAGGCAGGUCAUUAAACUUAACAAAGAAUAAGUAAGUCGGGAGAGGGGAAUAGAAAUCUCCACAUACAUAUUCUUAAAAGCUGUAACACUCACCACAAAGAUCUGCUGAGUGAAGUCUGUGAGACGAACGCACCAAGUCUGGACGCUCUGUCAGGCUACAUUUUACGUUUUUGGGAGUGAGCAGGUGUUAUUCUGUUCCCCGGGUUGGUUUUGAAGUCAUGGCUCUCAAGUAAUUUUUGUGCUUCUCAAAAGUGCUGGAAUUGCAAAGAUCAACAUCAAAAGCUACAAACUGGAAACAGAGGAAGAUACUAGCCCCGUGUUUCUGAUUCAGUAUCACUGAAAUACUUUGGAACCAUAUAAAGGGCAAAGUACAUUCCACAUGUUGAAGGACAGUGCCUGGCCCUGUGGGGUGUCAUCCCCAAGCUGUAGGCAUAGUGGCAACCCAGGGGUUCAUCUCAACUCCCAUCAGAGUUCAAACAUUGAAUUAGUUGUGCAAUGGAAGGAGUAUUACCAGGACCCAGAUGCAGCCCAAGGAAAAAAGAAAACAAAAGGAGACACACACAGUAAGUGGUGUCUCAUUGUGAUUUGGAUUUGCAUUUCCCUAGUGAUUAGUGAUGGGAAACAUAUUUUCAUGUGUUAUUGGUCAUUUGUUUAUCUUCUUUGGAGAAAUAUUUAUUCAAGUCCUCUGCUCUCUUUUUUUUUUUUUUUUUUAGUCAGAGUCUCGCUGUAUUAGUCUGCUCUCACACUGCUCAUAAAGACAUACCUGAAGCCUCUUUCAUGCUCUGAGCAGAACUGCAUUGCAUACAAUCAAUCACCUACACUCACAGGCAAGAAUGUACUACUAUUGUAAUAAUGUAAAUUUUUCUAAAAUCACAAAAUGGAAAAUGCAUCUUAUUUGCUUUUAACGUUUUAGCAGAUGAUGUGGUCAAGUAAAUAAAUAAAAGGAGAGAAAGAGAAGUUCUGUGUGUGUGUGUGUGUGUGUGUGUGUGUGUGUGUGUGUGUGUCUGUCUGUCUAAGAUCCUUUUGUUGUUUGCUUUGGCCUAGUUUCUUAUGCUUUGAGGAAAAGCUCAUUCUCAUUCAUGUGACUUGCUUUGGCUAAUAGGACACCAGAGCAUGAUGCAAGUGUGGCUUAAUCGGUGCUUGCACAUUGGGCUUGUUCUUUCCAAACCUGUUGCCCCGAUUCUGCAAGGCUAUCCUGCUGUAGAAGGAGGCCCUGGAGGACAAGACACCAUGUGGGGAAAACAGCCAUGGGGAGCAGAACCGAGGUAUCCCAGCUUAGCUCCCAACUGACAGCAGCCACAUGAGUGAGCAGAAAAACAACUUCCAAGGGUGAUUUAGCUACUGCUGCUGUGGAAUGUCAAAACUUUCAGCAAGGGAGCCCGAUGCAGAUCUGUUGAUAUGACACCAUUCCACAAGAAGACCAACUGAUGGCUUUGUGGCAAGUUGACUACACUGGGCUGUUUCUAUUCUGGGAAGACAGAGAUUUGUUCUAAGAGGAAUAGGCAUGUGUUGCAGGCAUAGGUUGACCUUUCCUGCCAUGGAGCCUCCUCUGGUACCACUAUUUGAAGGUUGAAGGAAUGUUGAUUCACCAGGAUUGAGUCAGACCAGCCAAGCCUAUGACCAUGAUGUCAACUGACUGUAUCACCUGUCACAUCAUCCAGAAGCUACAGACUUAUAAGGCAUUGGAAUAACUUGUAGAUGGCCCCGUUAAAGUACCAGCUUAGAGGCAACACUCCAUGAGAAUGAGACAUCAUCUCCAGGAUGGCACAUACACAUUGAAUCACACAGCAUUGAUAAGGAGAUGGCUCCCCAGUAGGAAGAAUAUAUUGGUCAUGAACCAAGGGAUGAAGCAGAAGUGUCUUGCUUCCUGUCCCUGCAGCCUCUCUUUCUGCAGUGCUAGAAAUCCUGGUCAAAAGGGGGCAUAAUUUUAUCAGGGGACACAGCAAAAGUCUCCACUACAUUGCAGCUAUGCCUGCUGCCUGGGGAUUUUGGGCUUCUUAUAAUUGGGACCAGCAAUAAAAGAGAAGAGUCACAGUCUUGGCAGGGCUAAUUGACCCUGAUCAGCAGGAGAAGAAAGGCUGUGGUUCCACUAUGAGGGUAGGGAAGACGUGUGGCACCACUGAUCCACUUUUGCAACCCAUGGUACUCCCGUGGCCAGUUGUGAUGACAGACAAGUGCAGGAACACUUUUGGGAAGGGCAUGGUGGCCAGAGUUCAGACCCCAUGGGAAUGAGGACCAGGGUCACACCACUGGAUAAGCCAGGAGGAAGAGAGGCCCACUGGAAGGCUGGAGGAGCUGCUCCCCAGAUGUAGAUGAAGUAGAUUUGAGCAGCACAGUGGUGGACCUAGUAGAGGCGGACAUCAAGAUCCUCUUCAAGGAAAGAUUAUCAAUAUAGUUUUCCCUGACCCAGGUGCCAUGUGUUUUCUGUCAUAUUCACGUAUGCUAAUACAUAAUUGUGCAAGUGGGGUAAUAUCUGGGACACUUCAUGGUUCAUAUCAAAACACAGAGUGAAGAGAACAUCCUCUGGGCCAUCUCAGAGUGUGAGUUUGGGGCGGGGGUGGCUCCUGGUUAACAUUUCUGUCCACUGCAGCAUUCCUUUUCCCUUUUGCUUUUAGAUUCUUCCCUUGACAUCACACCAGGAAAGUCUGACAACUUAACUUUAUUGGAUAUAGGCAACCGUUGAAUCCAAGUUUUGCCCACUGAAUCCAUCAAAUUGUUACAGCCAAUUCUAGAUGCCUGAGUGGACACAUGAAAUCCAGAUUCCCCAGUAAGCGCAUCCCCAUUAAUAAACUGACCAAAUGCAAUGUUAAUCUGUUCUAUAACCUUUAGAAUCCAUCCCAACAUAUAUUUUUUAGGUUCCUGCCAAGAUAUGUUAGCAAAAGCUUGCAAUUUUUUGAAAAAUGAAUUAUCUCUUCCUGGGACAUGUGUUGUACUUUUCUCUCUGAAAUAGGCUGAGCUCUGACUCCAUUAAAAGUCUGAAAGCAAUGAAGAGUGAAGGAGCGGAUAUUGGGGAGAAUAGGCAUCCUCUUGCAAGAUAACUGCCUCAAAGUCAUUAUAAGGUUUUCAAGCAAGAGAAAGCUAAUUUCCUUACACAUAUGAAGAAGCGUUGCUUCUCCUGGCAAGAAAUACACAGUGAAUCAGGGAUUCAAAAUUCUUAGCUUUAUCUAAGUUUACCCAGAUGUGUCUAUCCUUCCCAAUCAGUGCUCUUGGCAGGAGACUUGGCAAGUCUGCGAAGUCAACUUAUGUUAUAAUUCUGCAACCCACACAAGUUCUUAUUUUCAAUGAGGGUAACCUUGCAGCCACACAAAAUAGCAAAAUUUUUUAAGGAGUACCAUAGACACACUCUGGUUCUCUGUGUUCAGUGUUUUAAGCCUAUCUUUUUGUUCCCCUGUAAGCUCUUCAAUGUAGUCCAAAAUACACCAUCUGUGGUAGGCAGAAUUCUAAGAAGGUUCCAAAGAUUCUCACCCAUGGUGUAGAGAACUUGUAUAAUUUUCUCCCCUAAAGUGUAGGUGGAGCCCGUGAAUAGGAUGGGAUAUUAAUACCAUGAUUGUGUUAUAUUUUGAGACAAAAAAAAUUUUGUAGAUGUAAUUAAAGGUACUAAUCAGUUGACUAUGAGUUUAUCAAAAGGGAGAUCAUCCAGGUGGGCCUGACCUAAUCAUAUCAGCCCUCUAAAUCCUGGUCUAUGGGUCAGAGAAAGAGGAAGGCAGAGAUUUAAAGCAUGAGAGAAAUUCAAAGCAAACUAGAUUCUCCAUUGCUGUCUUUGAAGACAGGCAGCCAUGUGGCAAGGAAUGUGGGUAGCCGAUAGUGGCCGAUGACAGCUCCCAGCCCACACUUCAAGUUUAGCCUCGUAGGGCCCUGAGCAGGGGACACAACUAUACUGCAUUUACAAC